CAAGUCGUGGGGCAGCAGCUCUGUAGCAAUACAGAGGCUGGCGACCGGCAAACGGGUGCGGGACACGUACACAACCUUCCUUCGAGUGGGGAAUAGCCCGGGGAAACCCGGAUUAAUACCCCGUAACAUAAUGAAGUGGCAUCACUUUAUUAUUAUAGCUCCGGCGCUUGAAGAUGGGUGUGCGACUGAUUAGGCAGUUGGCGGGGUAACGGCCCACCAAACCUACGAUCAGUAACUGGUGUGAGAGCACGACCAGUCACACGGGCACUGAGACACGGGCCCGACUCCUACGGGAGGCAGCAGUAAGGAAUAUUGGUCAAUGGACGCAAGUCUGAACCAGCCAUGCCGCGUGGAGGAUGAAGGUCCUCUGGAUUGUAAACUUCUUUUAUCUGGGAAGAAAUCCACGAAUUCUUUUGUGGUUGACGGUACCAGAUGAAUAAGCACCGGCUAACUCCGUGCCAGCAGCCGCGGUAAUACGGAGGGUGCAAGCGUUAUCCGGAUUCACUGGGUUUAAAGGGUGCGUAGGUGGGCAGGUAAGUCAGUGGUGAAAUCUCCGGGCUUAACUCGGAAACUGCCAUUGAUACUAUCUGUCUUGAAUACCGUGGAGGUCAGCGGAAUAUGUCAUGUAGCGGUGAAAUGCUUAGAUAUGACAUAGAACACCAAUUGCGAAGGCAGCUGGCUACACGAAUAUUGACACUGAUGCACGAAAGCGUGGGGAUCAAACAGGAUUAGAUACCCUGGUAGUCCACGCCCUAAACGAUGGAUACUCGACAUACGCGAUAUACUGUGUGUGUCUGAGCNAAAGCAUUAAGUAUCCCACCUGGGAAGUACGAUCGCAAGAUUGAAGCUCAAGGAAUUGGCGGGGGUCC
rnacentral:rRNA from 1 species